UAAAUAAUUGCAUGAUUACGGACAGGAGUGUUAAAUCACAAGGGACAUUGUGAAGUCAGAUAUUUAUCAUGUAGCCAUGUAGGUGUUCCAGAAUAAACAUGGAAAUAUAUGCAAUAUCUACAAGUCACUCAAUUAAGAAAUUAGAAAUAUGAAAAAUAUGAGUAACUUCUGGAAUAGCAUAUUGAUGUGUGACACUACUGAAAUAGUUAGUCCUAAUGUAUAAUCAUAGAUACAGUCAUCUUAGGGGGUGUUUGGGAGCACUCCACUCCAGGAAAAAUUACUUCACUCCACCAACUCCAAAAAUUUUGCAGCCAAACGCGUCUAGCUCCAGCAACUCCGGCUCCAGGAAAAAGGUGGAGCAGGGGGUAGAUCCACGUUUUUUAUGGAGUACCUCAAGAGGUGCUCCAAAAACCUCCUUUUCAGACCUCCUCAUGGAGUUGGGGUUAUUUACCCACCAUUGCCACUGGUUACACAAGUUACCGGUUCGAUUUUUCUAUCUCCUCCGUCGUCUCCGUUUCUUCUCCCACGGGGCGCAGGCCGGCCGGGGGCGAGCUCCCCCGCGGCGGCGCGGCCGGGGCACGGGCCGGCCGGGGGCGAACUCCUCGGGCCAGGUGCCCACCGGAGAGCGCUGCGCCUCGUCUGCAUGUCCUACCUCCAAAAACUGAGAAGAGAAGAGGAGAGGAGAGAGAGGAAGAAGAGAGGAGAAAAUAGAAGAGUAUGACAUGUGGGUCCGUUCACAAAGGGUAAAAUAGACCAUUCACAACAAGUGCUCAUGUUUUUGGAGCUGGAGCACUGCCAUUAGCCAAACACGUGCAGCAGCUCCAUGUUUUUUGGAGUUGGUGGAGUGGAGCUAGGAAAAUGUGGAGCUGGUGAAGUGGAGCUGGUUUUUCUGAAGUGGAGUGCUCCCAAACAAGCCCUUAGUAGCACAUUGUAGUAGUCAUUAAGCUCAAAUUGUUUGUGUUGUUGAUAAAUAUACAGUUUCUGAAUGAAGAAUUGAUAUUAGACUGAUGAACAAAUACAAUUCCUCCUGUAAUUCUAAAUAUUUAAUGGGCAGAUUCAUU
rnacentral:lncRNA from 1 species